rnacentral:misc_RNA from 1 species
CGAUUUCUCCACCGACGCUCUACUCCUCUCCCCUCCCCUCGCCGCUCUCUCUUUUCCCUCUGCCUUCGGCGGCAGAUCGGCGCCGCUUGAGCUCUGGCGGCGGCGGAUCUAGCGAAGGCGGGGAGCAGCGGUGGCGGCGGCGGCGGAUCU